rnacentral:lncRNA from 1 species
UCUGCCUCCAUUGAAACGUGGCUGUCCUCCCUGCAUCUGUGGGGCUGACUUCCCUCUUCUUACAAGGAUGCCGUCAUUGGAUGAGGGCCCACCAUACUCCAGUAUGCAGCCAGGCAGUGAGCAGCCGACGGGUGCCUCAGUGUCCCAUGCAGCACAGCCACGCAGAGCAGGCGAGGGCCAGCCCCCAGGAAGCCGCUUGUGCCUGCCCGCAGUGGGACAAACCUCGGCACUGAGUGUGUCCACAGAUGCCAACGCCCCUCAGACGGAGUGAGUUGAUGACUGUUAAAUGCAACAAUAUAAAUGGCCUUGUAUUUUGUAUAUCUUUCCUUUUUUGUUUUAUUUUUCUAGCUGAUCUUUUUUACUCUAUUUUGCAAAAGUUAGCAGUCUGCAGGGUGCUUCCCCCUGGCUGGCUGGAGAAGCCCCAUGUGCCGAGCCUGGUCCGAGGUCCUCUGAGCCCCCACGUCGCCUCGCUAAGUUGCUGUGCCCUGACCCCAGUGUGGGAGGGGCCAUCAGAGCACAUGUGCCUUCUACUUGGUGAGGGCGGCAUUAUCUUGGGGAUGCAACUGCAAUAAUCAAGAAACUUAGAAAUAUUUCGGAUGAAUUAACUGAGAACGCAGUGCACUCACUGGCAUGGCCACCUGCCCUCACCUGGGGCGUGCCUCCGGCCCUGGCACUGCUCUGCCCCACCCAGUUGGUGGAAUCAUGGAAGCAGAAGAGGGGUGGUCCCUGACUCGUGUUUGUGCUGUGGAGACGCCCGCAAAGGCCAGGACACUUGCAUAGAAUGCUCCCGGCACUCUCCCGUCUCCAGGGCUGUGUGUAAGAGUCAGUGACAGAACUGUACGCAGCGUGCAAGAGACAACUGCCAUCACUGCCACCUUGAAGGGCAGCCUGGGCACAUACUGUCGAGGGACAAGGAACUUGCUGACAGCAGAAGGCUUCAUGCCACAUGCUUCGGUCUGUAUACAGUCCAAAUCCGGCAAAGUGGCACGCAACACUGUCCAGGGGUUCACUGCACAUGGCAAAGCUGUCCUAGAGGGUAAGGAUGACAAAUGCCUGUGCAGGAGGGAGGUCGCCUCUGGGAACC